AUGGCCGCCUCUGCCUCUUGCCUUUCUCUUGUGGUGCUCGUGGCUCUGGCCACGGCGGCGUCGGCGCAGCUGUCACCGACCUUCUACGACACGUCCUGCCCCAGGGCCCUGGCCAUCAUCAAGAGUGGCGUCAUGGCCGCCGUGAGCAGCGACCCUCGGAUGGGCGCGUCGCUGCUCCGGCUGCACUUCCACGACUGCUUCGUCCAAGGCUGCGACGCGUCUGUUUUGCUGUCUGGCAUGGAACAAAAUGCUAUCCCGAACGCGGGGUCGCUGAGGGGCUUCGGCGUCAUCGACAGCAUCAAGACGCAGAUCGAGGCCAUCUGCAAUCAGACCGUCUCCUGCGCCGACAUCCUCACCGUCGCCGCCCGUGACUCCGUUGUAGCCGUAAGAAUGUCAUCUAACGAUCAUGCACAUCAUCGAUUGGAUGCCAUCGUUAACCGUUUGCUUCGUAUCCUUGGCGUGCAGCUCGGAGGGCCGUCAUGGACAGUCCCUCUGGGGAGAAGAGAUUCCACAGAUGCAAACGAGGCGGCGGCAAACAGCGACCUGCCAGGCUUUACAUCUAGCCGGUCAGAUCUUGAGCUGGCAUUCAGAAACAAGGGCCUCCUUACGAUCGACAUGGUGGCCCUCUCGGGCGCGCACACCAUCGGCCAGGCGCAGUGUGGGACCUUUAAGGACAGGAUCUACAAUGAGACUAACAUCGACACGGCCUUCGCCACAUCUCUCCGGGCCAACUGCCCCAGGUCAAACGGCGACGGGAGCCUGGCGAACCUGGACACGACGACGGCCAACACGUUCGAUAACGCCUACUACACCAACCUCAUGUCACAGAAGGGGCUCCUGCACUCGGACCAGGUGCUGUUCAACAACGACACCACCGACAACACUGUCCGGAACUUUGCGUCGAACCCAGCGGCGUUCAGCAGCGCCUUCACGACCGCCAUGAUCAAGAUGGGCAACAUCGCGCCGAAGACAGGCACGCAGGGGCAGAUCAGGCUCAGCUGCUCCAGGGUGAACUCGUGA
rnacentral:rRNA from 1 species